CACACUAUGACUUUGUGACAUCAAACCUAUUGCUUGGUGAUAUCACCCUGGGGAAGCCUGUCUGGCCCCAACAAUACUCCAGUCAGCACCAGUACUGUGCAUGCCCACUAGGGCUACUGCAGUGUUAGAGUUUCCCAGCAGUCACCCUGGCCUGGCCUUGUCUUCCUAAAGUCCUUGUACUUCCCAUCUUCCUGUCCAACCUCUUCUCCAAGUGUCCAUGUUUAUGUUUUUCCCCAUCCAUCUCGUGCUGGCUGAGGCUGUUGCCUGAUUUGAUAUAUUGGAUACCAUGCAGACAUCAAGCCUGCAGCUUUGUCAUGAGCAAAAUAAACUGGAGAACUUGUGAUCCAGGAAUCAGAAAGCCUUUCAGGAAUGGAAUGCCAUACAAAGUGCCAUUGAUGCCCACAUAUAUGUAUAUGCAUAUAUUUUAUAUUUUUCUACUUUCCCAGGCUGCAUUUAAGUUUCAUUCAGAGUUGGAGCAGUCUGUCUGCUCAAGACUAAGACACUGGAAAUAUUUACUUUCUUGUGAGGACAGAUCACUUCUCUGAAGUUAAAUUUGGUGGCCCAGGUCUUUCUCCAGUUAAACUGUGGAAUCUCACCCAUUAGAAAUGCACAAACUCCUCUGAACAGCAUGUUCCUGAGUAGGUGAAGAUGUUUUUCAUUUGUUUUGGUUGUAGUAAGCACAGGGAGACUAAGACCAACCUUCAAAAGUUGCACUGUUUUACUAUCCAAUAUUUUUUCCUCUAGAGGAGAAUGUUUUUAGAAGAGUGCAGUUCUGGAGAUUAUGAAAUAUUCUUUACUAUCUUCUUUUUUCUCCAAAGAUUUUUGUUUACUGGAAUUAUUUUAUAUAGGGGAAUGAAGUAAGCCUCAAUUUUCAAAGUUAAUUAAAUAAAGAUUUGGAUAUGACAUCUAUCUUCUUAAUG
rnacentral:lncRNA from 1 species